AACGAACGCUGGCGGCAGGCUUAACACAUGCAAGUCGAGCGCCCCGCAAGGGGAGCGGCAGACGGGUGAGUAACGCGUGGGAAUCUACCCAUCUCUACGGAAUAACGCAUGGAAACGUGUGCUAAUACCGUAUACGUCCUUCGGGAGAAAGAUUUAUCGGAGAUGGAUGAGCCCGCGUUGGAUUAGCUAGUUGGUGGGGUAAAGGCCUACCAAGGCGACGAUCCAUAGCUGGUCUGAGAGGAUGAUCAGCCACACUGGGACUGAGACACGGCCCAGACUCCUACGGGAGGCAGCAGUGGGGAAUAUUGGACAAUGGGCGCAAGCCUGAUCCAGCCAUGCCGCGUGAGUGAAGAAGGCCUUCGGGUUGUAAAGCUCUUUUACCAGGGACGAUAAUGACGGUACCUGGAGAAUAAGCCCCGGCUAACUUCGUGCCAGCCGCCGCCGUAACAC
rnacentral:rRNA from 1 species